rnacentral:rRNA from 1 species
GACGAACGCUGGCGGCGUGCUUAACACAUGCAAGUCGAACGGUGAAGCUCCAGCUUGCUGGAGUGGAUCAGUGGCGAACGGGUGAGUAACACGUGAGCAACCUGCCCCAGACUCUGGAAUAAGCGCUGGAAACGGCGUCUAAUACUGGAUACGAGAUCAAGCCGCAUGGUUAUGGUAUGGAAAGUUUUUCGGUUUGGGAUGGUCUCGCGGCCUAUCAGCUUGUUGGUGAGGUAAUGGCUCACCAAGGCGACGACGGGUAGCCGGCCUGAGAGGGCGACCGGCCACACUGGGACUGAGACACGGCCCAGACUCCUACGGGAGGCAGAAGUGGAGAAUAUUGCACAAUGGGCGAAAGCCUGAUGCAGCGACGCCGCGUGAGGGAUGACGGCCUUCGGGUUGUAAACCUCUUUCAGCAGGGAAGAAGCGAAAGUGACGGUACCUGCAGAAGAAGCACCGGCUAACUACGUG